rnacentral:rRNA from 1 species
UACGUAGGGCGCAAGCGUUAUCCGGAAUUAUUGGGCGUAAAGAGCUCGUAGGCGGUUUGUCGCGUCUGCCGUGAAAGUCCGGGGCUCAACUCCGGAUCUGCGGUGGGUACGGGCAGACUAGAGUGAUGUAGGGGAGACUGGAAUUCCUGGUGUAGCGGUGAGAUGCGCAGAUAUCAGGAGGAACACCGGUGGCGAAGGCGGGUCUCUGGGCCGAUACUGACGCUGAGGAGCGAAAGCGUGGGGAGCGAACAGG